rnacentral:rRNA from 1 species
UACGUAGGGUGCAAGCGUUAAUCGGAAUUACUGGGCGUAAAGCGUGCGCAGGCGGUGAUGUAAGACAGAUGUGAAAUCCCCGGGCUUAACCUGGGAAUUGCGCUUGAAACUAGCGGGCUUGAGUGUGGCAGAGGGGGGUGGAAUUCCACGUGUAGCAGUGAAAUGCGUAGAGAUGUGGAGGAACACCGAUGGCGAAGGCAGCCCCCUGGGUCAACACUGACGCUCAUGCACGAAAGCGUGGGGAGCAAACAGG